CCUACGGGUGGCAGCAGUGGGGAAUAUUGGGCAAUGGAGGAAACUCUGACCCAGCAACGCCGCGUGAAGGAUGAAGGUUUUCGGAUUGUAAACUUCUGUCGCGAGGGAUGAAGAAUGACGGUACCUGAAGAAUAAGCUCCGGCUAACUACGUGCCAGCAGCCGCGGUAAUACGUAGGGAGCAAGCGUUGUUCGGAAUGACUGGGCGUAAAGGGUGCGUAGGCGAUUAUACAAGUUAGAAGUGAAAUACCCAGGGCUUAACUCGGGUGCUGCUUCUAAAACUGUAAGACUUGAGUGCAGUAGAGGUUAGUGGAAUUCCUAGUGUAGCGGUGGAAUGCGUAGAUAUUAGGAGGAACACCAGAGGCGAAGGCGGCUAACUGGACUGCAACUGACGCUGAGGCACGAAAGUGUGGGGAGCAAACAGGAUUAGAUACCCGAGUAGUC
rnacentral:rRNA from 1 species